rnacentral:rRNA from 1 species
GACGAACGCUGGCGGCGUGCUUAACACAUGCAAGUCGAACGGAAAGGCCCCUUUGGGGGUACUCGAGUGGCGAACGGGUGAGUAACACGUGAGUAACCUGCCCUUGACUCCGGGCUAACUUCAGGAAACUGGGGCUAAUACCGGAUAGGAAUCCUUGCUGCAUGGUGGGGGUUGGAAAGCUUCGGCGGUUUUGGAUGGACUUGCGGCUUAUCAGCUUGUUGGUGGGGUAGUGGCUUACCAGGGCUUUGACGGGUAGCCGGCCUGAGAGGGCGACCGGCCACAUUGGGACUGAGAUACGGCCCAGACGCCUACGGGGGGCAGCGGUGGGGAAGAUUGCACGAUGGGCGGAAGCCGGAUGAAGCAACGCCGCGUGCGGGAUGACGGCCUUCGUGUUGGAAGCCGCUUUCAGCAGGGGCGAAGCUUGUGGUGACGGUACCUGCAGAAGAAGCACCGGCUAACUACGUG